AACGCGAAGAACCUUACCAGGGUUUGACAUACACGUGGUAGGAAUCCGAAAGGUGACCGACCCUUCGGGGAGCGUGUACAGGUGCUGCAUGGCUGUCGUCAGCUCGUGCCGUGAGGUGUUAGGUUAAGUCCUUUAACGAGCGCAACCCUUGCCGUUAGUUACAUGUGUCUAGCGGGACUGCCCGGCUCAACUGGGAGGAAGGUGGGGAUGACGUCAAGUCAGCAUGGCCUUUAUAUCCUGGGCUACACACACGCUACAAUGGCCAGCACAAUGGGUCGCCAAGCCGCGAGGCGGAGCCAAUCCUUCAAAGCUGGUCUCAGUUUGCAGGCUGCAACUCGCCUGCAUGAAGGUGGAGUUGCUAGUAACCGCUGCAUCAGCAGUAGUGC
rnacentral:rRNA from 1 species